UACGUAGGGGGCAAGCGUUGUCCGGAUUUACUGGGCGUAAAGCGCGUGUAGGCGGCCACGCAGGUCCGUUGUGAAAACUAGAGGCUCAACCUCUAGACGUCGACGGAAACCGUGUGGCUAGAGUCCGGAAGAGGAGAGUGAAAUUCCGUGGUGUAGCGGUGAAAUGCGCAGAUAUCAGGAAGAACACCAAUGGCGAAGGCAGCUCUCUGGGACGGUACUGACGCUGAGACGCGAAAGCGUGGGGAGCGAACAGG
rnacentral:rRNA from 1 species